GACGUAGGGCGCGAGCGUUGUCCGGAUUUAUUGGGCGUAAAGAGCUCGUAGGCGGCUUGUCGCGUCGACUGUGAAAUCCCGCGGCUCAACUGCGGGUCUGCAGUCGAUACGGGCAGGCUAGAGUUCGGUAGGGGAGACUGGAAUUCCUGGUGUAGCGGUGAAAUGUGCAGAUAUCAGGAAGAACACCAAUGGCGAAGGCAGCUCUCUGGGACGGUACUGACGCUGAGACGCGAAAGCGUGGGGAGCGAACAGG
rnacentral:rRNA from 1 species